rnacentral:rRNA from 1 species
UAAUACAGAGGUGGCAAGUGUUGUUCGGAUUUACUGGGCGUAAAGGGUCCGCAGGCGGUCCUGUGUGUCGGAUGUGAAAGCUCACGGCUUAACCGUGGAAUUGCAUUCGAAACUACAGGACUAGAGUACAGGAGGGGAGAGGGGAAUUCAGGGUGUAGCGGUGAAAUGCGUAGAUAUCCUGAAGAACACCGGUGGCGAAGGCGCCUCUCUGGACUGUUACUGACGCUCAUGGACGAAAGCUAGGGGAGCGAAGAGGAUUAGAUACCCUCGUAGUCCUAGCCGUAAACGGUGUGCACUUGAUGUUGGAGGUUUACCCCCUUCAGUGUCGGAGCUAACGCGUUAAGUGCACCGCCUGGGAAGUACGGCCGCAAGGUUA